rnacentral:miRNA from 1 species
UGCCACUGAUGAAUUACUGCUAGAAU